rnacentral:rRNA from 1 species
UACGUAGGGUGCAAGCGUUGUCCGGAAUUAUUGGGCGUAAAGAGCUCGUAGGCGGUCCGUCGCGUCUGCUGUGAAAACCCGAGGCUCAACCUCGGGCCUGCAGUGGGUACGGGCGGACUAGAGUGCGGUAGGGGAGAUUGGAAUUCCAGGUGUAGCGGUGAAAUGCGUAGAUAUCUGGAGGAACACCGGUGGCGAAGGCGGCAUCCUGGACCGAUAUUGACGCUGAGACGCGAAAGCGUGGGGAGCAAACAGG